rnacentral:rRNA from 1 species
GACGAACGCUGGCGGCGUGCCUAACACAUGCAAGUCGAACGGAACUGUUUUGAAAGAUUUCUUCGGAAUGAAUUUGAGUUAGUUUAGUGGCGGACGGGUGAGUAACGCGUGAGGAACCUGCGUUCAAGAGGGGAAUAACAUUCUGAAAAGAAUGCUAAUACCGCAUGACAUAUCGGAACCACAUGGUUUUGAUAUCAAAGAGUUUAUCGCUGGAAGAUGGACUCGCGUCCGAUUAGUUAGUUGGUGAGGUAACGGCUCACCAAGACCGCGAUCGGUAGCCGGACUCAGAGGUUGAACGGCCCCCUUGGGACUCCGACCCGGCCCAGACUCCUACGGGAGGCAGCAGUGGGGGAUAUUGCGCAAUGGGGGCAACCCUGACGCCUCACCGCCGCGUGAAGGAUGAAGGUUUUCGGAUUGUAAACUUCUUUUAUUAAGGACGAAAAAUGACGGUACUUAAUGAAUAAGCUCCGGCUAACUACGUG